UACGGAGGGUGCAAGCGUUAUCCGGAUUUACUGGGUUUAAAGGGUGCGUAGGUGGGUCUGUAAGUCAGUGGUGAAAUCUCCGGGCUUAACUCGGAAACUGCCAUUGAUACUAUAGGUCUUGAAUUAUCUGGAGGUGAGCGGAAUAUGUCAUGUAUCGGUGAAAUGCUUAGAUAUGACAUAGAACACCAAUUGCGAAGGCAGCUCACUACGGAUAUAUUGACACUGAGGCACGAAAGCGUGGGGAUCAAACAGG
rnacentral:rRNA from 1 species